rnacentral:rRNA from 1 species
UACAGAGGGUGCAAGCGUUAAUCGGAGUGACUGGGCGUAAAGGGCGCGUAGGCGGUUUUGAAAGUGAGAUGUGAAAGGCCUGGGCUUAACCUAGGAAUGGCAUCUUAGACUAUGAGACUAGAGUGCAGUAGAGGGUGGCGGAAUUUCCGGUGUAGCGGUGAAAUGCGUAGAGAUCGGAAGGAACACCAGUGGCGAAGGCGGCCACCUGGACUGAAACUGACGCUGAGGCGCGAGAGCGUGGGUAGCAAACAGG